AGACAGAGAGGAAGUGGGUGCGUUAAGGAGGCGAUAUUCAUGCAUGAUCCAGUCAGUUCUAGAUCCAUGAGGUGGCUUUCCUCUGUAGAAAACAAGUGUCUUCUUCAUCCCCACAACUUGGUUCCCUUUUGAAGUUACAAUUUGUUUGUCCAACCCAGUGGCCUUCCAAUAACCUGAAUUGGUGGCUCUGUUGGAGCGGUUGCCAUUAGGAUAUUUGGGCUCUUUGGUGCUGAAAAAGUACCUUUCUUUCUCUAAAUCACCUAAACACAGCACCCAGAAGGGAUUGCAGUUAGACUCAAUUAAUUGGGAAGAAGAGAGAGGGGAAGAAGAGAAUGAUAGGCACCUGGCAAAUCCCAAGGAUCAGACUUGCAAAGGGAAGGAGAAGACCUUCCGCUUUAAGUAUUGCACAACCAAUUCCUCGUCAGUUGGGUGGAAACGGAACCCCGGGGGUAAUCUGAGCUCCCCAUUCUUCACAAAAUUAAGUUUUUCCAUUCCACCACACCACACAACAACCUACUUCUCCUUCUCUGUAUAUGUUUUGAAUAUAGCAGUAUGGUACUAACAGUUUUGUGUGUCCGACUAGAGCAGAGCAGGCCAGUUGGGUGGGUGACAAUUGAAGCACUCGUGGGGGUUCUUAUAACUCCAUUAAAGCGUAGAGGAAAAUAAAGAAAGGGGCUGAAGAAGGGGAAAGGAAAGAAGAAAAAGGAGGGAAAAGGGUGUUAUUAUUAUUGGAUAAAGAAAGCGAAAGGGUAUGGAGUAAGAUGCAGUGUGGCUUCUUUUAUAGAAAUGGGUCUGACAGGAAGGAAGGAGAAGAAUAAGACGACACAUUUGGCGUAAACCAGACUCAACCUUUCUUUUACUUUGACGUUAUAUUAACUAUGGUUUAAGGUUUUUUUUUUAUAUUAUUAUUAUUAUGGUUUGUUUGUGAGAGAAGUUGUUACUCCAGACCAGAGUGGGUGGUGCUAAUAAGAAAACAAAGGCUAGUUCCCUGUGUUGUGGUUGCAAUUUGGAGUUAGAUUGGAGGAGGAUUCCGUUGGGUUUAUCCAAACAAAGCACUUAUCUGUCCCUUCCUUGGAUAAAACAAAACAAGUUCUCCAUUUUUUGUUUCUAACAAACAACUAAAUUUUGAUUUGGUUGGUUUUAAUGUUAUCCUAAAGUGAGGAAGUUUAGAAAGGAAGGUAAAUGAAAAAAAAAGAGGUGUCUGAAGUGAGGUUAUGUGAUGGGGUACAGCUGGAAGUGACCCAAGGGAAGGGAAUGCAAAGAGGCUUUAUCAGUGGCAUGGCACUGAGUUGGUGAAAGUACAGAACUAACCCUCUCUUUCUAUUUCUGUUCUAUCUCUCAACGGGGAACAAAAGAAUAUGAAUGAAUAGAGGAUCUUGUUUUUUAGAACACCUCAGCAAGAGAACCCACUCUUCAUUUGUACGGUUUUCGUAGUAAGUAACUUCUUCACACUUUAGACGCAUCCCAUUCUGUCGGUGUUUCCUUUAAUUCACUAAUAUUAUUCUUAUCUCAUUUUAAUAACUUUCACAAAACUCUUUACUCAAACUAAAUUCAUUUCUUCUAAGAUUAUUUACUAUUUAUUACUUUUAGCUUUGAUUUGGAAUUAAAAAAACAAUUAUCUUUACCUCUUAGAAUAAUUUCACAAUUUUUCUUUUACUCUUCUUUCUCUCGUCCUUGUAAAUACUAAGUUCGGAUUGUAUCUGUAGAAGGCACUCUGACAUAAUGUUCAGUGCAAUUAAUGCGUAAUGAUGACGUAUCUUAUUUUUAAAAUGUGUGAUUAUUUAUAUGAUUAUCAUGAAUGAUUUCUUAUUGGAUCAAUUAAGAUUUUGAAUCAUAAUUAAAUAUGCAUUACAUAAUUUAAUCACCGUUUGAUCUUGUUAAUCUUCUGUAAGACUUAAUUAAUCUGAUUACGUGAAUCGAUUUUGACUGAGUUCCACUUGUCAUUUGGAGCCGUUACAAUCCGUAAGGUUGUCAUUAUUAAAUGCAAUUUAGGUCCACGCUUGUUCAAGAUUUUUUUAGAUCGCAAAUAGUGAAUUAUGUUUCUGGGACAGUUUUGAAAAUUGAAUUGAUUGUAUUUAUGAAUUUCUUGUGAUACCACAUUCAUUUGAGGAGACGUGAACGUAAACAUACACUUGCGAAAUCAUUUUCAAAUCAAUUAAAAUAUUCUGUUAGCUUUUCAAUAACUUAAGGGUCUAAAUCACGCUGAAAUGGACUAACCAUACAAAUUGGCAUAUAUUCUUAUUAAAGGUACAUGCAUAAAAACUAUGGCCAUAUAAAACCAAUGAGAAAAUCUAUUCUAUCCCAGACAGACAUCAUCCUAUGUAUUGCAGUCUUAAUUCUCAUAAUAUAUUUCUGUGUGGGCCUAAUUUCUUUUUAUUUUCCCACCAAAUAAUGGAAACGUCCACGUUACUUGGGAGUGUAGAACAACUGUUUUUAAUUUAAGUACUAGUCAAACACUCCAUAACUAAGUUCAUUUUAUUUAUUUAUUUACUAUACUCUGUCGGGAAAAUUACAAGUUGAUUAAUUCCUUUAUUUCACAAACUAUUGUUUAUCAGGGAGUCUGAUGGUAGAGAAUUUAUUAAUUAAAUUUUUUUAUUUGGGUAGUAUAUUGAUAGAGUUCGCACUAUAAAAAGAUUCAUCAUCUUGUUUAGGUCGAUCGACAUAAUCAAUAACAAAAUUGAUUGAUAAUUCAAUAUUAGUUAAUUUGUCUUUAUUAGGUCUAUUAAUGACAAAUGGUCCACAAUAAUAAUAUAAAUAAGCAUAGAUUAAAAAAAAAAAAAAAUAAGAGAAGUGAUGUAAUAGUUUUUUUAUUCUCACCCGUUCAAGAAUAGAUAUGUCAAUAAAAAUAAUGUAUGAUUGUGUUGAUAUUCUCAUAGAUUGAGGCAUAUUACUUCUAGUUUUGUUUUAUUUAUUAGUAAUCAUCUGACUAAUUACUUUUAAUCAUACACAUUUUAAAAAAAUAUUGAUUAAAAAUAUAACUUGAGAGGUUGAAACAUAAAGUGUUAUUUUUGUUAGAUCACCCUAACGUUGACAUGAAACAUCCAUCUAUUUUACCAGUGUCUAAUAAUAAUUUAUGCAUAGUUACAAUUGACAAAAAUGUUUUUUAAUUAGAUUUAUUUCACAAAUUCAACGUUUUAACGAAUUUUUAUUUGUAACAAGACUCCGGCUUUAAUUUCCUUUUAUUUCAACAAAAAGAUAUUCUAAAAAAACUAGGUAUCAUUUCAUAUCAAAGGUAAGAGUACAAAUAUGAUAAAAUAUGUUUUUUUAAUCAUUCUAAAACAUCUAAAGUUUAGUUAUAUUUUAAAAACAUUGUUGUUUUUAUUCCUCCUACUUUUGAUUCUUUAAACGUUGUCUAAAUAAUAUAUUGUCUUUUAUAAAACGUUAUUUAAAUUUGAAGGAUAAAAUUAUGCUUUUCAAAAUUAAAGUGACUGAAAAUAAGACAAAAGGAGUUAGAAGGGCUAAUAUAUCGAAUUUAGUUGUUCUUUUUAAGAAGAAACCAAUAAAGAUACUUUACUCCUUUUUAUUUAAAAACUAAUUUGUUGACUAUUCAGGUAACAUAUGGACCUGCAGUAUAAGAUUUUUUUUUUAUUGUUGUUAUAAAAGCAACUUAUAGUUGACCGGUUAGUUUUAAAAGACAAUGAAAUAUGAAGAAUAUUAAAAAAUUAUACUAAAAUCUAAAUUUUUGGCAUAUUAAAAUUAAAAGUUAUGGUAAUGAUUUUUGCAUACUCAUCAAAGGAAAAAACAUAAAUUUAUUUUGAAUGUGUGUUUUGUUUGUGAAGUCUCUUUUAGAGUAUGGGAUUACCAUUGAUGUCAAUUGUUUAAAAUAUUACUUUGUCUCUUUCAAGAGAGACAAUUCUUUUAUGUGUCAAUCGAACAAAUCAUGUAAUAAUAAAGAGAGAUGAUAAGUAAAAAAAAAAAAAACACUCCAUUUUAGAGUUCAAUUUAAACAACUAAAAACUGUACACGUUGCUCUCUAUUUGUUCCACAGUACGUUAAAAAAGGAAUUGUGUUAAAUGUUUAAUUAAUAAUAUCGCAGGUGACAUCUGCACACCUUCAAUAAUUGAAUUUUGACUAGUUUUCUCAGUAUUUUUGGAUUUCUUAUUUGUCUUAAAAAAAGGCAAAGUAAGUUGUGAUUGUGUUAUAAUGAAACGCAUAAUAAGUGUAGAGAAGUAUGAAAAAAGAUAAGGUGUUUGUUUAGUGAUUAGUAGUAUUGGAAUGAAUUAUUUUGAAAAGUAGUUUGAUAGAGAGAGAUGUAUAAUAAAAAAAUGAUAAUGAGAUGAGAAGAAAGGUGGGUGAAAGAAUAAAGGUAAGGGUCCCAGUUGGUUCGAAAACCAGGGGCAACCACGUAGGAUUAAGGGUAGAUGACAAAUAUGGUACCUUCAAGUGAUGCCCCAUUUCAAGAUUUCCACGAUCUUCUUGUCUCACUGUUUCCAUCUAAUCAUGCAAUACAAUGCAGUGUAUUUCCAAACAGGAUUCUAAUUAAAACAACCAUUUUCAGUUCUUCUAUUUACAUCUCACUCCUUCUAUUCGGACAAAAUUUGUUAUUUUUGUUUUUCCACUUUUUUUUCUCAUUCAAAUAUGUUCAGUUUUUUGUUCUUUCUCCGACUUAGUUUUGGGUGUGACAUUCUCUGACUAAGUGGCCUUUAAAGUGAUGUUUUAUACAACUAAAUCGUUAUCGGUACAUAAAAUAAUUGAGAGAUGAGCAAUAAUUUUAUGAGUUGCAUGAUUAUAACACCGUCCUAGUUUAAUCUGCAAAUUGCUUAAAGUUUUUAUUUAAUUUUGUAAAAGGUACAAAUUGGAUGGGUUGUGGCAGUGGUGCAGGACAGUGUUGUAUGCAUGAGGUGAAGAAAUGUAAGCAAUAGGGAAACGUAGCUGUCAUGCUUUCUAUAUAGCUCAGAACUAGACGUGUUAAAACACUCAUGGUUUCUGCACAGAAUGCUAUAAAACAAACUACACUUAAUUACCAUCAUCAUCAUCUGAAACUACAACCAAUUUCAUUCUAAUAAACUCUUAAGCAUAUUCAUGAUAGGCUCUGUAUUUGCCAUUCAAAAAAUGCUUCCAAUUUCUGCAUUUCUUAUUCAAUAUAUAUACAUAUAUUGUAGUUGGUUAUUAAGAUCACAGAUAACCCUCCUCUCUCUAUCCGACAAGAAUGACCAUUCAUUUUGCAACCUCUUCUUUUCCUAAACAAAAGGAACAAACUAGUGCAAAGGUUGUGUUCUUAUUUUAUGUUUCUUCUCCUGAAAACGGUCUUUAAAAUAUACAUGUAUUUUGGACCUCUUUUCUUAUGCUCUUUCCAUGGAUUCUUUCUCUUUUGCUCUGUCAAAGCAUCUCCUUCAAGACUCAAAAUUAGUAGCUUUUAGCUAGCUAAAAGAAGCACUGCCUUUGCAUUUGCAUGAUGAUGAAGGGCAUCAUCAGAGAUUGAACUAAAAAGAAAAACUGGAUUGCACACUAGUUUUAGUAGCAUACUCUUCAGACUUAGACUAGCCUUGGUGCCGGUUGAAAAUGAGAAGAUAAUUACAGAGAAAGACAAUAAAAGAAAGAGGCAAAGCUUAGGCUGAUAUGAGAUGAGAUGGUUGCAAAACAAGUAGUGGCACUAGAAUUCAAGUGAAGGGUGUCAAGGUUUUCUUCUAAUAUAAGGGAAGGUGUUGGAGCUACUACUCUCUUCAUGCUCAUCUGAUUCAUUGGUAACCCCACUGGCGCCAGAAUUUGAGGAAUCGCUCUUGUUCUGCGCCAUGAAGUUAUAGAAAACCAUCUUCGACUUUCUCACCAUCCCCUUAUCCACUCUGCCUCGCAAACUCUCCAUCUCCUUCUCCUCCCCGUUUCUACUACCACUUCUCCUCUUCAAAAAUAUGCGACACAGAACCCAAUUUUCCAUGGGAACUUCAACCACAGGGCUCUGCACGCGCACACACAAACAAACCAAAAACACUGUGUGAGUAAUUAAUGCAUGCGUGGGGAUAAUUUGAGGUUAAUUUGGUAGCUCUGAAUCCUCACCUGAGACAGAGAGGAAGUGGGCGCGUUAAGAAGGCGAUAUUCAUGCAUGAUCCAGUCAGUUCUAGAUCCAUGAGGUGGCUUUCCUCUGUAGAAAACAAGUGUCUUCUUCAUCCCCACAACUUGGUUCCCUUUUGAAGUUACAAUUUGUUUGUCCAACCCAGUGGCCUUCCAAUAACCUGAAUUCGUGGCUCUGUUUGAGCGGUUGCCGUUAGGAUAUUUGGGCUCUUUGGUGCUGAAAAAGUACCUUUCUUUCUCCAAAUCACCUAAACACAGCACCCAGAAGGCAUUGCAAUUAGACUCAAUUAAUUGGGAAGAAGAGAUAGAGGAAGAAGAAAAUGAUGAACACCUGGCAAAUCCCAAGGAUCAGACUUGCAAACAUCAACCUCAGGAAUGACAGAGGCUGGCAAAGGGAAGGAGAAGACCUUCCGCUUUAAGUAUUGCACAACCAAUUCCUCAUCAGUUGGGUGGAAACGGAACCCCGGUGGCAAUCUGAGCUCCCCAUUCUUCACAAAAUUCAGUUUUUCCAUUCCACCACACCCUUCUUCUACUUGGGUAAAAUGAAGAAGAAGGAGGAGGAGGAGGAGAAAGAAGAAAAAUGGUUAUUAUUAUGGGAUAAAGAAAGCAAAAGGGUAUGGAAUAAGAUGCAGUGUGGGUUGUUUUAUAGUAAGGUGGGACGUUGGAAGUAUGCCCCAUUUAAAGAUUUGGUCGAUUUUGUUGUCUCACUGUUUCCAUCAUCUCUUGAAGCAAUGAAAUUCAUGGGAGAAGAGAAGAGAAGAGAAGAGAAGAGAAGGGUGGUUAGGGAAUAUGGAAAAGGUGUUGGAUGAUGGAAACGUGGGACGGUUGAGAUUGUUUGUUUGUUUGUUGUUAAGGUGGAGCCUCAAACAUUGACAAUUGAAGAAGCCCAAUUCCGUGGGGAAAGGGGAAACUUGUUGGCCUCAAAAAUAAAUAAAAUAAAAGGAAUUAGAAAGCGGAAGCACUACUAAACUAAACUAAUCUAAACUUAACUUCAGGAUGCUCAUGUUUCUUUAAUUAUUAUUUAUUAAUUAUUACCAUGAGAUGAGAUUCCCAGAAGCAAAACCCACUUGCAUAUUAUUAUUAUUAUAAAUUAUAUGUAAGGAGGGAAAAAGGGUUUCGUAUGGCACAUUGCGGCUCUGAUCUUUCCCAUUUCAACUUCCCUAGUCUGUAUUCUUAUAGGGUCAAAGGAGUUUGCGUGUGGGCAUUCUCAUGCCCCAUUUUAUAUGUUACAACACAAACGUCAAACCUUGCAAUUAUUGUGUUUUCAGUAAAAAUAUUUUUCUUCACUUCAAUUCCUUCCCAUUUCUUUUUUUAUCUGCAACUUCCCCUUUUUACAACUUUCUUUAACUCCCUUUACAUUUUUUUAUUAUAUUCUCUUUCUUUAGUACCCAUCUUAUCAUUUUCUUAUUGCAAGGAUAGUUGGUUUAAUACAGGAAUAUGAUUUAUAUUCAGCGUUACUUAUAAAAUCUAUUAAUUAUUAACAAAGAUUUAGUGAAAUUAUCUAAAAUUUUUGGCAAAAAUAAGGGAUCUCAUUAUACUUUUACGUUGUAAUUUGAAUAUUUUAUUAUGAUUCAAAAAAAAUUACGAGAACUUUAACUCAAGAAGGAGAUACACUUAAAAACUAAAGAUUUGUAUAUCUUAUUAUGAUUACGCUUAGACAUGCACACGAGUUUAUACACUCUGUUAUUGUUUUAAUUGAGAUAUGAAUAUCCUAUUAUAAGUCAAUAUUUUUUAUGACUUUAAAUCAGAAUAUAUAUAUGUUAAGUUUGCACAUUCUAUUAUCACUCUAAUCGGGAUUAUUUUGAUAUCUUAUUACGACUUUAAACAUCUUUUACAACUUUAUGUUUGUACAUGCAUACGUGGUUUGUACACUUCAUUUUGAGAAUUUUAUAACAAAGUCUUCAACUUACACACAUCAUGAGCUAAUAAAAAUGUAUCAUUUAGUUACAUUAUUUCUAAACUUAACCGUUAAAUUAUUUGGAACAAGUUAUGUUUAGUUUAGAUAACUUGCGACUUGAGCUUUAACGCGUCAAUGGUGCUAAGUUAUGUUUUGAAAAAACAUAAGCAUAAGUUAUGGCUUGAUUAAAUAUCUUAUUUAAGACUUAAGUUUUUUUUUAAUUAUUUAGCAAUUUUCAGUUUCAAGCAACUUUUGCUUCGGUUUUGGUCAGAUCUUCGGUAGCCUUCUUCCAAACCUUUUUUUUUUUAUCUUAAUCAUCUUGGUUUUAAUGCGCUCUACUUCUUGUUCAUUUUCUUUUUUUUAGCGUGUAAGUUUCUUCUCACUGGAGGGGGGCUCUUUGACCUUUAUUUCACUUAUGUAGGUCAAAGCGAUAGUCUUACUAAGACAAUUUUGUAAACCUCUACUCAAAUCGACUAUAAAAAAAUUUACUCAAUUCCACUAAGUCUACCUUCAAAAUAUUUUGAGUCUCGACCCAAUUUGUUUUCAACUCAAAUGUUACGAUUAACUAUAUUAAUAUGUUUUUAUGUCACUUCGUUUAAAAAUAAUUUUUAUAUCUGAGUUUCUUGUUUAAAUAAAAUAAUUAGUUGUGAGCAUAUCUUGUUUCAACCCUAACCCUAAAUCAAUAAUUAGUCUGACCUUAUUUUAUAAGAGAAUUUAACUUAUUUAAAGAAUAAUUAUAGAGUCUAUUAAUUAAUAAUAGAGAGAUUCAAUAAAAUUACUCAUAAUCUUUAAAGAAGAAAAAAAUAUCUUUUACUUGAAAUCAGUUGAAAUUUCUUUUAAAUUUUAAAGACUAAAUUGUUAAAAUUAAGAAGGAUAAUAAAAUAUUUAACUAGACCUUCUAACUUAUCAUAUUUAUUUUUCUUCCUAUAUGUUUCAUGUUUAAAAACUCAUGAAUUUUAAUCAUUCACUUAAAUGAUCCUUACUCACUUCCUCUUAAAGUCUAAUAGUAUGAAUUCAUUAAAAUGUCGAUAAAAAAAUGAAUUCAUUGAAAAAAAACUAAUAACCAACACACGUUAGUAAGGACACAUACAUAUUAUAAAAACAACAUUCCCUAAUUGUCCUAACAUAGCUCCCGUUCUUCUUUUCUUGUUUCGUCGAGAUUUCUCUUUCUUUUAAUAAUAAUAAUAAUUAUUAUUAUUAUAAUAAUGUAUAUUUUUCAUUGACCAAACACACUCAUAAACUCUUUCGCUGGCGUGUGGAAUUAAUAGCACUAAGGUUUGGCAUUGAAGUAAUAGAUCAUGGUGUGCAUGUUUGGGUUGUAGUUAGUAAAUUUUGCCAAGGUUUUUUCUUUUCAUUUAUUUAAACAAAUUGUGUUGGUUGUUAUCUCCCCUCUUGUGCUUUAUGUUGGACUAAAAACCUCUUGUUACGAGUUGUCAAAGGAAAACCAAUUCUACAUCUUUCAUCAACCUCACCUUUUUGAAAUAAAAAGAAAAAGAAAAAAGAAUUUAUGAAGCAUGGAGAUGAACUUAACACGGAAAAAGGUAGAAAAUAAAAUAAAACAAAUGAAAGGUGAUAUUGAGCAAGAAAGGGUGCGUGACACCUCCCCCAAGAUGUUGUCAACUAGUGACGCACGAUGCUGUAUUUUACUUUUCAGAGCAAAUUUUCCUUUAGGAAUCAAUUGCUAUGUUUGAAACUUCCUUCUUAGUUCUACUCAUCAUAAGCUUUUGCACACAAAUGAUAUGAAUUGAUUAUUUUUGGAUUCAUUGAACUCACUUUGAUGAGAACAUUGCAUGAUGUGUAAUAAAAUAAGUGUGAUGCGUAAGAGUAUCUGAAAACGAAUUAAUAUUUGAUAAGACGGUGGAUAUUUACAUUGGUGUGGAGUAGAAGAAAGUAGAAAAUAAGUGAUGAAUAUAGAAUUUUGGAUGAAAUAAAUAAGAGUAGAAGUAAGUUGACCUCACUAUUAUUUAUUUAUUUAUAAUUGUAAUUGUAAUGUUGACGCAUAGAGAUGCCUUGAGAAUGUGGUCCUUUGCUUUGGUGAUUGGGCACUUGAAAUAAGGUAGUUCCUUGAUUUUGAAGCCAAAGAUUUGUGCACUCGGAAAGCCAAAUUUUGCAAAAGGGCCAAAGAAAGAAUAAGAUAUCUCUUUUCAAAGAAAGCAAAAGUUGUUAUAAAAAUGAAUGAAAGUGUGACCAGGGAUAGGAAAUAGCACUUGUAAUUGUAAAAUGAGUUGUGGAAUCUAUAAGAGAGAUUAGAAGUAGAAAAAGAGAAAAAAAAAAAUAUUGAUUAGAUUACAAUUAUAAACUGUAAUUUUGUAAUGGUUAAAGUAACAUUUUUCAAAAUAAAAGUAGCUAGAAAGAAAGUUGGUGAAAAGGGGUGUGGAAUCCAGUGGAAGUGUAAGUGUAAGAAAGAAACAUUUCUCACUUAGCAUUUAGAAAUCUUACUCUUGGAAGCUGCACAUUCCCCACUUUCUCUAAACAAAUUACACAUCCAACUUUAUUCCUCUUUCUCAGCUCUGCUGGUAACCACUUUUAUCCCUCUCUUCCAGAAUAAGAAUACGAAUCAAAAUGAAAAUCAAAAUGAAAAUAGAAAAAAGGUAGCGUAAGGGUGAAACAAAGACUAUUCCACACUAUUCACAACUUACCACUAUUUCUACGACUUUUCAUGUCUUCUACGACUUUUCAUGUCUUCUACACUCACACAUUACCUCAUCCAUUUCUCAUCAUACUUAUUCAUUACCAAUUACACCUUAAUUACUUAACAACUCUCAUGGAAAAACUCACGCGGAAACAACACACAAUCACAAAUCAACUGCAAAAAAAUAAACAACACAAGAUUUAACGUGCUUCGGUUGUCAAUUGCAACCUACAUUCACACGGACAACUAUUAGGUUUACAUUACAAAAUUACAAGUACAAUGAUCUCUUUAAAUAGAGAUAAAUAGAGAUAAUAAAGGGAUACAAUAAUUAAGCUCACUCACUAAACAUGUGUCUAGUCAGCCCAACCUAAUUGGUCAUGACUUCAUACCCAACAAACUCUUCUAUUUCCCAUACUUCUACCUACACUCCUCACAACAUGCAUCCAAUUAACAACUUUUUUUUUCAUUUUUAAUUAUAAUAUAAUAUACAAAUUAGUAUUAAUAAAAUCAAAUAAUUCGCAUAACUUCCUAAAAUAUCAUAAAUGUAAAUAUAAUAUGUUUUAUUUGUGUUCAAUAAUAACAAAUAUAUUUUAUUAACAAUUACAAUUUUCUUGACAAAAAUCAACUAAAAAACAUAUUCUUUUAAGGUAACUUUCU
rnacentral:lncRNA from 1 species